rnacentral:rRNA from 1 species
GAUGAACGCUGGCGGCGUGCCUAAUACAUGCAAGUCGAGCGAAGCGGGGAAGGGUGAGUAACACGUGGGUAACCUCCUAUAAGACUGGGAUAACUUCGGGAAACCGGAGCUAAACGGGAUACUUCUCAAUUGGUCCGCGCUGCAUUAGCUAGUUGGUAAGGGAACGGCUGACCAAGGCAACGAUGCAUAGCCGAUCUGAGAGGGUGAUCGGCCACACUGGAACUGAGACACGGUCCAGACUCCGACGGGAGGCAGCAGUAGGGAAUCUUCCGCAAUGGGCGAAAGCCUGACGGAGCAACGCCGCGUGAGUGAUGAAGGUCUUCGGAUCGUAAAACUCUUUUAUUAGGGAAGCGGUACCUAAUCAGAAAGCCACGGCUAACUACGUGCCAGCAGCCGCGGUAGUUC